GACGAACGCUGGCGGCGUGCUUAACACAUGCAAGUCGAACGGUGAAGCGCCUUCCUUUUUGGUGGGUGUGGAUGAGUGGCGAACGGGUGAGUAACACGUGAGUAACCUGCCCCCUUCUUCUGGAUAACCGCAUGAAAGUGUGGCUAAUACGGGAUAUUCUGGGUCUGUCGCAUGAUGGGUCUGGGAAAGAUAUUGUUUCGGUGGGGGAUGGGCUCGCGGCCUAUCAGCUUGUUGGUGGGGUGAUGGCCUACCAAGGCGGUGACGGGUAGCCGGCCUGAGAGGGUGGACGGUCACACUGGGACUGAGACACGGCCCAGACUCCUACGGGAGGCAGCAGUGGGGAAUAUUGCACAAUGGGCGCAAGCCUGAUGCAGCGACGCCGCGUGAGGGAUGGAGGCCUGCGGGUUGUGAACCUCUUUCGCCAGUGAAGCAGGCCUGCCUCGUUUGUGGGUGGGUUGACGGUAGCUGGAGAAGAAGCGCCGGCUAACUACGUG
rnacentral:rRNA from 1 species